UACGAAGGGGCUAGCGUUGCUCGGAAUCACUGGGCGUAAGCGCACGUAGGCGGAUUGCUAAGUCAGGGUGAAAUCCUGGAGCUCAACUCCAGAACUGCCUUUGAUACUGGCGAUCUCGAGUCCGGGAGAGGUGAGUGGAACUGCGAGUGUAGAGGUGAAAUUCGUAGAUAUUCGCAAGAACACCAGUGGCGAAGGCGGCUCACUGGCCCGGUACUGACGCUGAGGUGGCGAAAGCGUGG
rnacentral:rRNA from 1 species